GAUGAACGCUGGCGGCGUGCCUAAUACAUGCAAGUCGAGCGAACAGAUGAGGAGCUUGCUCCUCUGACGUUAGCGGCGGACGGGUGAGUAACACGUGGAUAACCUACCUAUAAGACUGGGAUAACUUCGGGAAACCGGAGCUAAUACCGGAUAAUAUAUUGAACCGCAUGGUUCAAUAGUGAAAGACGGUUUUGCUGUCACUUAUAGAUGGAUCCGCGCCGCAUUAGCUAGUUGGUAAGGUAACGGCUUACCAAGGCAACGAUGCGUAGCCGACCUGAGAGGGUGAUCGGCCACACGGGAACUGAGACACGGUCCAGACUCCUACGGGAGGCAGCAGUAGGGAAUCUUCCGCAAUGGGCGAAAGCCUGACGGAGCAACGCCGCGUGAGGGAUGAAGGUCUUCGGAUCGUAAAACUCUGUUAUUAGGGAAGAACAAAUGUGUAAGUAACUAUGCACGUCUUGACGGUACCUAAUCAGAAAGCCACGGCUAACUACGUG
rnacentral:rRNA from 1 species